rnacentral:rRNA from 1 species
UGGAAGUAAAAAGUCGUAACAAGGUUUCCGUAGGUGAACCUGCGGAAGGAUCAUUGUCGAUGCCUUACAUGCAGACCAACACGUGAAUCAGUUUGAACACAUAGGGUUGGUUUGAGGUGUUCAACACCUCGGCUUGCCUCUGGUUCGGAGGAGGACGAUGUUGUGCGUUCUCCUUUGUGCCAAAACACAAACCCCGGCGCUGAAUGCGUCAAGGAAUUUAAAAUUUGCUCUGAGCGCACCUGCAUGGCACCGGAGACGGUUUUCGUGCGGGUUGUGUUCUGACACAUAAUAUAGAAUGACUCUCGGCAACGGAUAUCUAGGCUCUUGCAUCGAUGAAGAACGUAGCGAAAUGCGAUACUUGGUGUGAAUUGCAGAAUCCCGUGAACCAUCGAGUCUUUGAACGCAAGUUGCGCCCGAUGCCAUUAGGUUGAGGGCACGUCUGCCUGGGCGUCACAUAUCGAAGCCUCUCGCCAAUUUCCUAUAUUGAUAGGGGUAUUGUGCAGGGCGAAUGUUGGCCUCCCGUGAGCUUUAUUGCCUCAUGGUUGGUUGAAAAUCGAGACCUUGGUAGGGUGUGCCAUGAUAGGUGGUGGAUGUGUUACGCACGAGACCAAGUAAGUCAUGUGCUGCUCUAUUGAAUUUAGGCCUCUUUUACCCACAUGCGUUUCGAAACGCUCGUGAUGAGACCUCAGGUCAGGCGGGGCUACCCGCUGAAUUUAAGCAUAUCAAUAAGCGGAGGAAA